GAGUUUGAUCGUGGCUCAGAUUGAACGCUGGCGGCAUGCCUUACACAUGCAAGUCGAACGGCAGCACGGGAGCUUGCUCCUGGUGGCGAGUGGCGAACGGGUGAGUAAUGCAUCGGAACGUAUCCUGGAGUGGGGGAUAACGUAGCGAAAGUUACGCUAAUACCGCAUAUUCUGUGAGCAGGAAAGCGGGGGACCUUCGGGCCUCGCGCUCUUGGAGCGGCCGAUGUCGGAUUAGCUAGUUGGUGAGGUAAAGGCUCACCAAGGCGACGAUCCGUAACUGGUCUGAGAGGAUGAUCAGUCACACUGGAACUGAGACACGGUCCAGACUCCUACGGGAGGCAGCAGUGGGGAAUAUUGGACAAUGGGCGAAAGCCUGAUCCAGCCAUGCCGCGUGUGCGAAGAAGGUCUUCGGAUUGUAAAGCACUUUAAGUUGGGAGGAAGGGCAGUAAGUUAAUACCUUGCUGUUUUGACGUUACCGACAGAAUAAGCACCGGCUAACUCUGUGCCAG
rnacentral:rRNA from 1 species